rnacentral:lncRNA from 1 species
UUUUUUUGUUUUUUGUUUUUUUCCAAUAUCUUGCUAUCUCAUUCUGGUCUCUUACUUGCAUUUAUUUGCUCUCUGCAGGAUCAAAAUGCCGGAAACCUUUGUUGUUCACCUCGGAAACAGCAAAGAGCUCAUGGAAGUUGCUGAAGACACUGUAGCAAAAAGGGUUUUGCGUGAGCAUGUUCGGGAGUCUCUUGGAGUACGAAGUGAAGACUUACUAUUUGCCAUCAUAAACAGUAUGUGUUCGGAGCUGAUUUGGUCAUGUCUCUGAUUUAAAUUGUUGAGUCUUGUCCAGUGACCAGUUAUAAUUGGCCAGUGCAGUGACUUCACUAUUGCUUAUUUGUCUAUUCUGCACACUGAAUUAACCUGUUCUACUAUUUUUUUGUCUUUAUUCUGUCAUUUGUAGUAUGCAUCUAAAACUUGUGGUUAUAUCCAUGAGGAAAAGAAAAGAGUCUCUAAUUAAUUUAUCCAUAUCCCUUUUGAGUUGAUUACAAUUGAUGAUUACAGGUGUUUCGCGUGGAAAAGGCCAGGAUCUAUUUCUGCGUUCAUUCUAUGAAAGCGUGAAAUUGGUCCAAGAGAAGAAGCUGCAACUGCCAAAAAUGCAUGCAGUUGUUGUGGGUAGUGACAUGACUGCUCACACCAAGUUUGAGUCUGAGUUGCGUAACUUCGUAAAGAUGAAGAAAAUUGAAGAUCGUGUUCAUUUUGUAAACAAAACACUGACUGUAGCUCCAUAUCUAGCUGCCAUUGAUGUCCUUGUGCAAAAUUCUCAGGUAUGGAAUAUUAUUCAUUUAUUAAUGAAUUAAUUUAUUGGUUUCAAGAACUACAUGUACAAGAAGCACAAAAUGCAUAAAAGGCAUUGAAAUGAUUGUUGUUGGAAUUACAUAGAUCUCAAUUAUAUCAUCCUUCUUCAACUUAUAAUCCGUUUUGUGGCCCUUCCAUAUAGGCACGGGGAGAAUGCUUUGGUAGGAUAACUAUUGAAGCCAUGGCAUUUCAGCUGCCUGUACUGGUAAUGAAUCUACAAGAUUCCUCUUGAUAUGCCUAAUUAUCUUGUAAGUUCUCUUUUGUAUUGUAGCUGCUAAUCUUGUUUUCAAAUGGAAAAAUUUGCCAGGGAACAGCAGCAGGUGGAACCACAGAGAUUGUAGUGAAUGGAACAACAGGUCUCUUGCAUCCUGUCGGGAAAGAAGGGGUUACACCUCUUGCAAAAAACAUUGUUAAACUUGCCACUCAUGUUGAGAGGAGGCUUACAAUGGGGAAGAGAGGCUAUGAAAGGGUCAAAGAAAGGUUUUUAGAACAUCACAUGGCAAAUAGAGUUUCUGGGGUUCUGAAGGCAGUGUUACAGAAGUCAAAGAGCCACUCAGAUGCCUGAUAGUUAGAGGGUCUUUUUUUUUUUUUUUUUUCUUUUUUUUGAAAAAAGGUUUGGAACCCAACCUUGCUGGGAGGCUCAGCCCCACGCCCGGAAUGUUACUGUCAAGUAGAAUGCCGAAUGAUUCAUUCUAUUGGGGUGAAAUAUACAUGUGUACUUCUCUAGGGAUUUCAGUGCUUAUCAGAAAGAAGAUGAAAUACACUAGAUUAUUAGGACAGUUUCAAUUUGCGAUCAAUUUUUAUGUACAUAUAACACAUCGCUGUUAGCUUUUAUUAUGAAGGUCUAUCUAGGCAGACAUCUUAUUGAAAUGUUUGGCUCCCAUUUUGUUGUUGAUUUUUGUAUCGUGAACAAGUUCAACUUAGGCACAGAACACCACCAUAGCAAUCAAUAUAACAUUAAGUAGAAUCACGACAUUUUGGUAAGAGAAAGAUAACAGACAGUAACCGCUAACAUUUAGAGUUUGAUUACGCAGACUGCAGAGCAAGCAUUUCAGCUAGUAAACCAUGGAUUUCAAGAGGACUUGGGGUGUGAAAAACCAUUUACUGGUUUUGGCUGCUGCUUGAUGUUGGGUUUUGUAAACCAAGUUGUAUACAGAAACUGCUUAUUAGGUCCUACAUGGUUGCAUAUUUGUCUGAGCUUCUGCCUCUCCUUCAUCCACCUCAACACUAUCUUCAUGUGCCUCUUGCUCGUCAGUCCUCUUAAACCAACUUCCUAGUAGAAUUUCGAUCAGACUUUUAGUCAAACAGUUCAUAAGCAUUACCCACAUCAGAGAUAAGUAUAGAGAAAGCUCCGGAUAUAAAAAACUAAUAGAGCUCAAAACAGUAACAAGACUUCCAAAGGGGAGUCGAAUUACCUGAACGUGAUCCCAUGUUUCAGAAAUGGUGAGAGGACCGUGCUCCUUCACGAUAUCAAAGAUGGCCCUAGUGAUGGUCUGUGUCUGCUCAGGUGGAGUUUUGAGCUCUAUCGGUUUCAUCUUCGGUUUCGGUUUUCUCCCAAUGAGCCUUAUUGCUGUUCCAAACAUGUUGACGAAGCCUUUUCUUUUCCUGAACUAUUCUCAGUUUGCUGCAAGAGGUGCUCACCACCUGAAGAGGGAACUGAGAAACAAUGAAAUUAUAUGCAAGUAUUGUCAAGGGCCAGACCAGAGUUUUAUUUUCUAGUAGACAAUUUCAACCCAUAUCCAUUAAUUGUAGUAUUGUACCAAGUAAAAGUAUAGGAAUUCACUUUAAUACCAAGCACAUAGCGAUGCCCAACCCACAAAAUUCUCAUACUCCAAUGUUUACACUUUACAAGAAGCAUAAUAACCAGAUAUGAAAAGAAUGUAUACUAAUAGCUUCUACCAAAGAAACAAAUAACACACAUCCUACACAGUACAACUCAAAGCCUUGAACACAUGUUCUUUCCAUUUCUUCUUUCCCCAAAUUACUACCUCUCAACCUAGAGUAUGUCAUAUCUUCAGCUGUCAGAAUUAGGGGAUUUAACACCUUCAAUUAUCAAGAGGCACAUUCUGAACAUAUUGUUCAUCUACUUGUUCGAAGUUCCUAGCAUGGAUGUAGUUUCCUUAUCAGUUUCAAGUAACUUUAUGGCCUCCACCAACUUUUGCUUGACAAUUCUUGUUCCAGAAUCACACAAUGAGCCUAUACUGAAAACAUUGUUCCCUUCUUGCAUCAGCUCACUCAGGCGCAGAGACUGGGCAGAGUUUGCCCUUUCACACGAAGGCUCACAUAAACCACUACUCAUCACAUUCUGAUUUUUCGCCCCUCGAGUCCAUCUCUUCACUAUGUAUUGGGCUGGUAUGCUCGUGAUGUUCUUAAGAUCCAAUACUUUCAGGGCAUGACGACAAAGCACUCCCAUGGAUUCAAACAACUUACAAGAACAACAAAUCGUCGAAGUAGUGGAGUUGUAUUGAAUUAUGUAGACUCUUUGAUGACCUUCUUCAACUGCUUCAUAUACAUAUUGGUAGCCAUCAUUACCAACUUCCAUCAUCCUCACCCCAAAGGUACUUAAAAUCUCAUUUUCAAAGAAUGAAUACAGUUUAAUAGUAUACUCUGCAGCUGCAUGCUUAAAGAUACCCGUGUUCACUCUAAGACGAGGCAUACCAUUUUUACAACGAAAAUCCUCUUCCGCCUGCGCUAAUCUUAAAACUUUUGUUUUUUUCUCAUAAUGCUGUGCCAACCCAAUGAGAUCCAUUGUUGUUGUAGAAAUUUGAUGGAAAGUAGUAUCAAUGUUCUCACCCCUCUGGUCACAUCCGAUAUUGGCUGUGAAAGUGUCUGGGCUAAAAGCUGGAGACCAUUUCUGUCUAAGUAAAUAUAACUUUUUCAGCCACAAAUCAUUCUCAAGGUUGAACUUUUUAACCAUAUCAUCCCACGUAGCUUCAAAUUCUGCUUCGGCGACACACUCAUGAAAACAUUUGUUGAAGCACUCCUUGAACUCAGGAUUAGCAAGGUGACUAGCAAGAUAUUGUGAAGCAUUCUUAGAGAUGUUCCAUGUGCAUAGUCGAUGAUGUGUCCCUGGAAGUAUAACCUCAAUCGCUUUUGCCAUGGCAUUAUCCUCAUCUGUAAAAAUGGUUUUUGGUCGUUUAUCUCCCAUAGAUUCCAGAAAAUUUUCAAACAACCAAGUGAAUGAAUCAGUGCUCUCAUCCAAUAGAAAAGCACAACCAAAUAGGACAUUCUUCCAGUGAUGAUCAACCCCCACGAAUGGAGCACAAACUAGAUUGUAUUUCUUAGUUCGGAAUGUGGUGUCAAAGAGUACAACAUCUCCAAAGCAAUCAUAGUCAAGCCUUGAUCUACUGUCUCUCCAGAAAAAAUUAGUGACACGGUUAUAUUGAUCCACUUUCACACUGUAAAAGAAACUCGAAUCCUCCAGUUGCUGAUGCUUCAAAUAAUCAAGUAAACUUUGUCCAUCCGCUCCUCCGAUCAUGUUUUCCUUCAACCUGUGCAAACAAUCAUGGACACCUUUUUCAGUGAACCCAAACCCUGCAUUAUCAGUACUGCUCAUUUCUUUCUCCAAGUACGAGAGUGUUUUGGUUGGUCUUACACUCGCAUCAACCUUAGAAGAGUUAUAACCAAUGAUAGCUGCACGAACAGUUGAUAUAUGCCGACUUGAUCUUAGAAACUGCCUCUCUUCUGGCUUAGCAAACUCGUGGUUAUGAACCGGAUUGAACUGCACAAUCCUCCAUUUCCCAUCUUCAACAUUGAACCGAACCAUCGCCUUACAACCGGUUCUCGUGUCCAAUCUCCUCACUUUUUUCGCUUCCCCCACCUCCUCAUCUAAUGGAAACCCUUCUUUUGAACAAAAGUAGUCCCGCUGGCGUAGCUUAUUCUGUGCAUCCCUUCUGACCUUCCCUUUCCGGAUACUAAACCCUUUCUUGAAAGCAUAUGUGUUGUAUAACUCGUAAGCUUCAUUUUCAUUCUCUACCACCGUCCCCACUCUUAGCUCAUCACCAUCUCCAAAUGUAUCCUCCUUGUCACCAUUUUCUAACACAUUCCUUUGCCACCCACUAUCCAUUAUCUAAUCAAAGAAGCCUAAUCAUAAACAACAGAUUUUCUAUUACUGUUUUGACAAAACAGGGCAAGCAAAGUUCACAAAUUCAAGUCAAAAAUCACAACUCCAAUACAACAUUCAGAAAAUGAAUUAUUCAUGAAAUUAUCACCAGAAUUGCAUAAAGAACAUAACACCCAGUUUCAUAAAUGACACACCCAUCAAUCCAAAACCCACUCUCAAGCCUAAAAACCCAUGAACCCCAAAACUCAAAUUACAAAAAGCGAGGCAGAAGAGGUACCUGUUCUGCUGACGUCACAAUCGCCGUUCAGAGUUGAGUUAUUUCUGCAAAUUGGGUUAUGGAUUUUGCGGCAGUUUUGUACUAUUUAAUAGACGACCUAAACGCACCGUUUCGUGUUAUGUUCAAAACGCACCGUUUCUUCUCUCUCUUUUGUAAAAUACACACUCAAAAACCUUCCAUAAAGUUUGAACUUUCCAAAUGCAAAACCUCUCCCGCAGAUUCUCAACUCUCCAAGUUCCCAAGCUUUCAACCCCACCGCCGCAACCCAUCAGACCUUUGUUUCAAUACUCGAAGAUUCAGCAUUGCCGGAAAAUCCUUGAGCACAGAAUCAUCACCGUUCUGGAUGUAUGCACCACCCUCACCCAAGCCCAGCAGGUCCACGCUCACGUCAUCGCCAAUGGGCUCAGCCAGUACAGCUACGUCAUCACCAAGCUCAUCCGCACGCUCACCAAGCUCGGCGUCCCAAUGGGGACCUACCCGGAGCUCGUUUUCCGCCGCGUGACGCGCCCCAACCCGUUUCUGUGGGCGGCUAUGAUCAGAGGAUGUGUGAUUGAAGGACAGGUUUCGGAAGCAGUGAGGUUUUAUGGUUUGAUGAGGAGGGAGGGCACGGGUCCGGUUUCGUUCACCUUCUCGUCGUUGUUUAAAGGCUGCGGGAGCGUUGGGGAUGUGAGUUUGGGGCGGCAGGUGCAUGCGCAGACGGUUGUGAUCGGUGGGUUUGCGGCGGAUUUGUACGUGGGGAACACUAUGAUUGAUAUGUACUUGAAAUGUGGGGAGUUGGGUUGUGGGCGGAAGGUGUUUGAUGAAAUGCCUGAGAGAGAUGUGGUGUCGUGGACCGAGCUGAUUGCGGUGUAUGCCAAGAGUGGGGAUAUGGGGUCGGCCAGGGAGUUGUUUGAGGAGUUGAGUUUGAAAGAUAUGGUGGCGUGGACGGCCAUGGUUACGGGGUAUGCGCAGAAUUUGAUGCCGAGAGAGGCGUUGGAUUGCUUUGAGAGAAUGCGGGGCGCUGGUGUGGGGAUUGAUGAGGUUACUUUGCUCGGGGUUGUUUCGGCUUGUGCGCAGUUGGGUGCGUGUAGGUAUGCAAAUUGGGUGAGAGGCAUUGCUGGGGAAUCUGGUUUCGGCCCUGCUGAGAAUGUGCUUGUGGGAUCUGCGUUGAUAGAUAUGUACGCAAAGUGUGGGAGCUUGGAUGAUGCGUACGAUAUUUUCCGAGGAAUGAAGCAGAGGAAUGUGUUUUCGUAUAGCUCAAUGAUUUGGGGAUUUGCAGUGCAUGGAAAUGCCAAUGCGGCAAUCGAGUUGUUUCAUGAGAUGCUGACAACUGAUGUUAUAAGGCCGAACCGUGUUACUUUUAUAGGGGUGCUAACUGCCUGCAGCCAUGCGGGGAUGGUUGAUCAAGGUCGGCAGUUGUUUGCAACCAUGGAGAAGUAUUACAAUGUCACUCCAUCAGCUGAACAUUACACUUGUAUGGUAGACUUGCUUGGUCGAGCUGGUCGCUUGGAAGAAGCUCUCGAGCUAGCUGAGACGAUGCCAAUAGUCGCGCAUGGAGGUGUGUGGGGAGCGCUACUUGGUGCGUGUCGUAUCCAUAAAAACCCCGGCAUUGCUCAAAUUGCUGCAAGUCAUCUAUUUGAGCUUGAACCUAAAAAUAUCGGAAACUACGUGAUGCUCUCCAACAUAUAUGCAUCAGCAGGAAGGUGGGGUGAUGUUUCAAGUGUUAGGAAGCUGAUGAGAGAGAAGGGUCUGAAAAAGAACCCUGCAUAUAGCUGGGUUGAAACAAAGAAUGGAGGUGUCGAAAAGUUUAGUGCAGGUGAUACACGUCACCCCGAUUACGAAGAUAUCAAAAAGGCAUUGGAGGAUCUUCUAAACAGAUUACAGGAUCAUGGUUAUAGGCCAAACCUGAAUUCGGUGGAUUAUGAUGUGGGGGAUGAAGAAAAGAUGCGUAUAUUGAUGGCUCAUAGCGAGAAACUGGCGUUGGCAUACGCAUUGCUCAAUGCAGACACUGGUCCCACCAUUAAGAUCAUCAAGAACAUAAGAAUUUGUGAAGAUUGUCAUGGCUUCAUGUGUGGCGCAUCACAGGUUACAGGAAGGCAUAUUAUUGUGAGAGAUAACAUGAGAUUCCACCACUUCGAAAAUGGGAAAUGUAAUUGCGGCAAUUUUUGGUGAUUGAAGUAUUGUUCAGUCUACUUGACCAAGAUUAUGGUGCAAGAUUUCAUAAGUGGAAAGCUCAUGCAUUUUAGCUGAACUGUGGUUAUGUCUCUCAAAAAUCGUAAAUAUAUAGCUGCCUCAACAUAUCUCAUAUUCCUAACGUGGGACUCAUAUUCCUGAUGUGGGAUUGAUAUCUCAACACGCCCACAUCGGGAAUAUCAUAUCAAAGGUCUCAUAUUCUCGAUGUGAUAUUCCCGAUGUGAAAUUGAUAUCUCAACACGCCCCCGCACGUGUGGUGAAUUUUCAAGCCUAACACGUAGACAACAUUUAGGUGGCGUGGAGUACGUGUGGCCAUUGGGUAACCCUCUCUGAUACCAUGAUAAACCAUGAUAAAGUAGUAUGAGGUUCACAUCUAAAACCAAUUGGCAAUAGAUGGAGAGGCCUAAACCCUUAUAAACCCACAGACAAAGUCUUAUAUUCUCGAUAUGGGAUUGAUAUCUCAACAUCUCAUAGCUAAGGCUGGGAACCAUAUAAUUUUCAAGGCGCCUAGAGCCUUUGAUUGAAGCCUCGAGCAGUUACAUCUCGGUUCGGCACACUUCCCUUUUCUAUGAGGUGAAUAAUUAUGCCAUUAACUGGGUGAAACAAACUUCCCUUUUCUAUGAGGUGAAUAAUUAUGCCAUUAACUGGGUGAAACAAGAUCAGUAGACGGCAGAGUACAAACUCAAAAGGCACAUAUCAACAUAAACAUUCCAAAUCCUUCCCUUACAACCUCGUGGACCUUAUUCACAGCACUGCUGAUUAUACCUAUUAGAAGUACUAUAGGUGCUUUAUCAGCUUAUUCAAAGAGCUAAUCAACAAGCAUCUACAUACGCAUAUAUAACUAUAAGAUAGUUUUUGAUCAUGAUUGAUCGAUUUAGUGGUGGCCGGGAAGCUUCUCUUUGAUCUUGUCCAUCAUUCCCUUCUCCUGGUGUUGGCCACCACCGUAAGGUGUAGUAGUCGCACCGUAGGGAUCGUCGGACCUGUGCUUUCCACCUGGUAGCUUCUCCUUUAUCUUCUCCUUCAAACCCUUCUUCUUCCUCCUUCCGCCAUAUCCAUCAUCUUCAGACUAUUCAUACACACAUCAUAAUCAAAUAAACAUUCAUUUACUUACAAAAUAAAUAAACAUUCAUUUAUAUAUCAAUCAUGUUAUCAUGAACACAAAAAAUGAGCUGAUAAAGCAUCCAAUGGAGUGAAACUCACAGAGCUUGAGCUGUCAGAGCGGUGAAGUGGGACGGAGGUCACGCCGCCGGCCGUUGUUGCAGCGAAGCCAGUCGGCCCAGUGCCAUGAGUUCCGAAGCCAGUACCAGUUGUACCAUGGGUUCCGUAGUCUGUACCAGUUGUACCAUGAGUUCCAUAGCCUGUUCCGGUCGUGUCAUGACUGCCGUACCCGGCGGUUGCUCCAGUUACACCGUGGUGAACCGGGUCCUCAGUCCGGCGGAUAGGGUUUCCGAACUCGUCGGUGGUCUUGUCUCUAUCGUACUCGCUCUGGAAAUGCGCCAUAUUGAUCAGCUUCCCAAAAACGCAAACAGUUGGUGUGCAAAUGAUCGAAAUUGUAUAUGAUGAUGUGUAUAAACAGCUUCUGUUUUUGGAAGUUGGACUGGAAUUUGGGGCUAGGUUAAAUAUAUAUAGGCAACCUCUGCAUGGACACGUACGUAUAACUGAGGGCGUGGAGAUGCCUGGAGGCGACGACUGUGCGUCUGAGUCGGUGCGGAUAAAGAUAAGAAAAGUAUAAGCGAGUUCGUGUUGCACCUCAUUGCGUCGACCAUUAAGAUUAGGAUUUGUGAAGAUCACCAUGUGGCACAUCAUAUGGUUGGGUGCUUCCUUUUCUAAAGAAAAAAAAAUAAAAAAAUAGUUUAAACAGUGUCUCAUUUUUUAGUCGAGCAAAAUUUUGAUAUCUCAACUUUAGAAAACUUCAAAACAGUAUCUUACGUUCUUAACCCGACUGAAGAUUGGUAUCUGGAACUGUUAGCUCUAUUAAAAAACCUAACUGCAGUUAUAUUUUAGUCAUAAAUGACCAAGUUACCCUUAUUUGUUGUUUUUGUUAUUUCUUUUCAAAUAAUAACAAAUAAAAAUUUAAAAGGCGGGGUGGAGGCCGAUUUUGCUGUCGGGCUGAGGCUGAGAGUUGAACUUUUUCAUCGGAGGAGCUGUGAGAGAAUAAGAAGGUCAACGGCGUCGCCCACCGUCCCCGCCUAAAUUGAAACACCGAUCACCCAGUCGAUACGUCCAGUGCGGCGUUUGCGGCGUUGACGACUUCAUCUCCCUUGCCGGCGAUCUGAGAGAUCGGGUACGAACAAUUUGGGCAAAAAGCAGACGGAGCAGUGGUUUAGGUGAGAACGCCGCCGACAUGGGUGACAACAUCGGAUUGGGACUGGGCUUACGCCGGACUGAGCAACGCCGGAGCAGAAGGCUGGUCUGAACGGCAUCGGCAGUCUGCACGUCGUCAGCGGUCUGGUUUUGAAGGAGAAACUCGCCUGAGCUUGAGAACUGCCGGACCUUGAAUUUGGAACAAUGCCGGCCAAGACUUUGACAGCUUCACAAUUUUUUUUUUCUUAUUCUUGAUUGGCCGGAUAUUGCCAGUACGAUACCGGCUUCUGCAAUUUUUGUGGGAGUUUAUGAACCUACGAAGCAUAAAUUGUUAAAGAUGGAUGAAUUUGCUGCGGGGCUUCGAAAGAGUGAGAUUCAGUUCUUGUGGGUAGCUAGGGGAGAGAGUGCAAGGUUGUGGUGAUACGGGAUUAGUGGUGCCAUGGUGUGAGCAAUUGAGGGUUUUGUGUCAUGCUUCUGUUGGUGGUUUUUGGACUCAUUAUGGGUGAAACUCGACUCUGGAAGCUGUAGAAAAGAACACCCAGCUCACCAUUAAGCUAAAGUUACAAUCUUUAUUGAGCAGAAUAAGAGACUGAUAGAAGUGCUCGAGUACUUCUUGUCGAACUGCCCUUGAUUUGUUUCUAUAUUUGUUAUCUUGAAAAGUUGGAAGUUAUUAAUUGAUUUAGUUCAAUUCAGUCAGCCGCCCGGAAGGUUUUCCGGCCUUAAAUUCAUGAAUACUGGUACUGAAAUACUGAUAAGAAUCUGUUUGGAUCUGUUAGUUAAAUCCUUUGUCCUCCCCGCCCCCCCGGCGGUCUCUCUUUCAAUUUUUGAGAGAGAAGGAAAAAAGAAAAUAAAAAAUCGUUAAGAUAAGAAAGGACGAAAAUAUCCUUCGGCCGUUAAUUAUUUUAACGGAGUUAACGGUUCUAGAUACCAAAAUUUAGUGAGAGUAAGAACGUGAGAUACUAUUUUGAAGUUUUCUAAAGUUGAGAUACCAAAACUUUGCUUCUCUAAAAUGUGAGAUACUGUUUGGACAAUUUUCCUAAAAAAAAUUACAUUAAUUCUUUAGGGCAUCUAACAUUUACCAUGUCAAGGAGCAAAGAUGUUGAAGUAUCACGAGAACAUGUUUGGGUGCUUUGUUACGACGGUUGAUCGAGAGAGAUAACAUAUGAUGGGUUCUACCACUGUUGUAAUGGGACAUGUUUCUUGGCCAUAUUGAUGAACCAGGAGAUUUGAAGAUAGUACAGUCAAAACAGAUCGAGCAGUGCAUCGAUCUGAUAUAUAUCAGAACCAUACUAACAGCGGGAAAAGCUGCUGUACCGGACGGUAUAGCAUACCGUCCGGAUCUGUGCCGUUCAACAGGGGGGGUGGGGGUUGGGGGGUGGGGUAGGGAGGAGAUCGUGCGGUGGAAAACUGGUCGGCAUGCUAUACCGUCCGGUACAGCAGAAUUUCCCUACUAACAGCUAGUUUUAAGUUUCUUACUGGCCUUCCAAUGCUAAUAGAUUAAUAGUACGUAGCUUAUCAAAGACUGUCAUAAAACGGAUUGAAUCAAGUUAAUCAUGACAAGCCUCGCAAGACACCUUGGCCAAUUGUGCCAAAUAAUGGUUGUUAAUAGGGCAAUACUAAGAAGCUUUAGAAAUUAGGGAUAAGUUCAAAAAUAAUUAAAUCAUGAUACUUGUAAGGGAAAAUGCCCAAAUGCAUAAUCAAAUCACUAAAGAAAUUUAGAGAACUUAAUAAUUAAGUUUUGAUAUGUUGGUACAUAAUGCAUUCUCAUUCACUUUGCAUUGUAGUACGUAAACUCAAAGGAUAGUCAUGUAUUAGAAUCAUUAUAUGUAUCAGAAUCAUUAACCAUGCCAAUCCAAUAUCUAUAUAUAUAUAACCUAUGAUCCAAUAAUAAUGAAAUCUAAUUAAAAUUAAUUAAUAAGAGCUAAACAAAGAGAUCAAUAAAACCAUAUAUAUAUGUAGAGUUGUAGACCAAGCUACAUCCAGCCAUAUGCGUCUAAGUCACCCAUAUAAAAUCAUAUGUAGAUCAAUGAAAUCAAUCAAACCAUAGCUAAUUAAGCAACGAUUACAGUGACCGUUUUGCUAUUUCUUACUUCCAAAUCCUUCCCUUAUUACAACCGGGAAGAGCAAAAUGCUCCCUCACCCCAAAUUUAUUGAAAUAACCACAAUAUACAAUCGAAUAGGAUAUCACAAGACCCAUACCCUGAAGACCAAUACGAAUGGUUUCAAAUUUAAACAAUACAAACCAGCACGAAGAGAAAGAACAAAUCGAUUUACCAUGCAGAACUUAUACACAGCAGUAUAUAGUUAUAUACUAUAUACCAUGUACUAUAGGUAGAUGCUUAUCAGCAUAUUCAGCUAUCACAAGUUCACAACAAGCCAAGCAUUUAGGUACAUAUAUCUAUAGUCGAUGAAUGGUCGAUUUCAUGAUGGCCGGGAAGCUUCUCUUUGAUCUUGUCCAUCAUGCCCUUCUUCUCAUGGGGGAUGGUAUCAGACGGUGGCGUAUUAUUAGUGCCGCUAUGGUCACUGUUCCCGCCUGGCAGCUUCUCCUUAAUCUUCUCUUCAAGCCCUUCUUUUUCCUUCUCCUCCUUCUUCCUCCUCCCGCCGUACCCGUCAUCCUCAGACUAUUCACAGUUUCGAAUCAUACACAUCAUAAUUAAUCAAAUAAGCAUCAAAAUUUAUUAAUCUAAACACGACAAACUGAGAUGAUUAGCAUCCAAAGAGUGAGACUCACAGAGCUUGAUGAGCCGUCAGACCGGUGAUGCAGGAGUCCCUGACCGCCGGCCGUUGUUGCAGCGAAACCAGUUGGCCCAGUGGCCCUGGCCGCCCUGCCAUGAGUUCCGUUCCCUGUACCAGUUGUACCAUGAGUCUUGUGCCCCGUUUCGGUCGUUUCAUGAGUUCCGUUCCCUGUACCAGUUGUACCAUGAGUCUUGUGCCCCGUUCCGGUCGUUUCAUGAGUUCCGUACCCUGUUAUAGUGUCAUGAGUGCCAUUCCCGGUGGUUGCUUCAGUUACACCUUGGUGAUGAACCGGGUCUUCAGUCCGGCGGAUCGGGUUUCCGGACUCGUCGGCAGUCGUGUCUCUGCCGUUCUCGCUCUGGUGCGCCAUAUUGAUCGGUAAUUAGUUUCCCAAAGACGCAAACAGUUGGUGUGCAAAUGAUUGAAAGUGUAAUAUUACAGCUUGUGUUUUUGGAAGAUGGAGUGGAACUUGGGACUUGGCUAGGUUAAAUAGGCAGCUCCGCAUGGAAACCUACGUACGACUGAGUCACUGAGGGCGUGGAACUGCCUGGAGGCGACGCGUGUAUGUCUGAGUUGGAGAAGAUAAGAGAAAUCCUUGUCUCCUAGUUGGGAGAGGAAUAACUAAGCUCGUGGUGCACCGGAUUGGCUCAUUGUGUCGACUCUUAAGAUUAGGAUUUGUGAAGAUUUCCAUGGCUUCCUGUGUGGUGCAUCAAAUAAUGUUAGGGCAUGAUUGUUGCGCUUGCGACUGUUGUGAGAAAACGAUGACAUAGAAAUGAGGUUCCACCACUUCUGUAAUAUUAUACAUGUAAUGCGACAUAUUUCUUGGUCGAGAUUUAACAACUGAGGAUGGCGUUGCAGACUUGCAGGUCUAAAACAGAUCGACCACGAUUAAAUGUCGACCAAGAUUUGAUAGGUCGAUGGAACGCUGGCGUUAAUGAAGUUAAUUCAUAUCGAAUCUGGAUGUCGUUUCUCAAACUCAAAAAGUAGCUGUAUGUGUAGUAGGGCUGGGCACGGGACAGGACGGGCCGGAAUUUGGUGAAUCCCGUCUCGUCCUGAAAAUAAAAAAAUAUGACGGGACAGGACGGGAAGGUGUUUUUAAAAAUCUGUCCCGUACGUCCCGAUUCCGAUCGGGAUCCCGACACAUUUUUUUUUUUUNNNNNNNNNNNNNNNNNNNNCAAGCUACAUUAGAUCAUUUUCUUUAUUUUCAAACUUGUGUUUCAUGGUGUCCUUGAAUAUUCACUACUACAGAUUUGUCAACACACAACGGUGGGAACACCGUUGUGUGACUAUAGGUUUUCCGUUGUAUAUCUCGGGCUUGUCUUAUUGAAUCUUCAGACAAGUGUGAAAAUCACCAUUGUGUGAUCACAUUUUGCUCAACAGUUCAAUACUUUCAUUGUAUAAGUCGCUGCGCAAAUCAAUGCCAUGCGCAGCAUUCGCGGCAUCGACAAGUCCACUCAGACAACAAAUAAUAAAACAUUUUCGUUGUAUUUUUACCCUUUUAGACAACUGUUGAUUUUCAUUUCUACCGUUGUGUGUUUUUCAGUAAGUUACAACGGUUUAUUCCCUAUCUUUACUGUUGUGUGACGUUGAAUAACCUACAACUGAAAUAUUUGGACCGUUGUAUCACACAAUAGAUAUAGCAUUCUGCUUUUUUGUUUGAUGAGAAUCAUACAACAGUUGCAUUUUCAUGUGGACAGACUUUGUUGUCCAAGUUUUACACACACAAACAUCACAAAAGAAACUGCUGCACAAAUUGAUUGAAACCAUAAAACAUUGCAUUUCAGCUUCCAUAUAUAUCAUUCAAGCUUCCACAAACAACAUUAUAGCUGAAUAAUAAACUAAAAACAAGCAACUAGUUAAGCUCCUAGAUAGUCUUACAUGUCCAAAAGCAUUCCAACAUGAGAAAUGCACAAAGUAUGUACUACCAUAUAGCUGUUCUGAAUAUAUAGAAACACCAAGUUCAAAAGCAAAGUACUACCACAUACAUAUAGAAAGCACCAAGUUCACUAAAACAGACCAGAUCAUGCACCCUACAGGUAUUUGCUGAUGAUGAACUUUGCCCACUCAUUCCUUAACACAUCCAAAUCAUCUUGGGUGUAGACAAGUUUGCUUCUCCUGUCCCACUGAAAAACAUAAUGCUAAAGUUAGACAUGAACAUGACAUUAUCCCGAAAAUCUGAUUCCCAACACAAACACAAAUAGUACGUAGUUGGUAUGAGAUAUCAAUGAUAUGAGAUACAUCUAUGAUAUGAGAUAUCAAAUAGUAGUUCAAAUUUCUAACGAGUAAAGAAGGGUAACACAAAUCUUUGCUCACUUGUAGUCUAACAUAUCAAUGAUAUGAGAUACAUCUAGCAAAUGCAAUGAUAUUAACAUACCAAUGAAUGCAAACUCUAUCAAAUAAUCCAUAUAUACAAUCUGCUCAUCCAUAAAAGAAAACCAUGUGUAUAUUGAAGGAUACUGUUUGUCCUCAUUAGCAAGCAGUUGGUUUAGUUGAGUUCCUUCUUUUCUGAAGGAUACUUGAUAGGCGCAAAAGCACCUACAAAGAUACCCUAUUAUCAAAUCAAUUAUAUCAAUGUAGUAAACGGCAAAUAGGGGUCAUUACCCGCAGAGGAUUGGUGAUGCUAAGACUUAAACACAUAAGAAACACAAACAGACGCGUAAACCAGAAAUCUGGCAGACUCGACCUAGGAGCAGAAACCUAAUUAAUUAGCUAAUCUAGACUCAACCAAAAAUUAUGAAAUUAAGUACACAGUAACUAGACACAGUGGCGGACUACCACACAAAUUUUGAGGGUAUUCGGAGUUGGUUUGAUUGAUGAACAAAAAUAGAUAAAACAGAAGUACUGCUGAAAACAGAAUAUUAAAAAGUGAAUAUGGAUGUAAAUAUGAGAGAAACAAUAGCUAGGAACUUCUCUCCACCACUAGAUACGCUUCAAUCACCCCAAAACAAUGUCAAUGACUAAAGAUGAAUGCACUCACAGUUAAGCCAAUGUCGNNNNNNNNNNNNNNNNNNNNNNNNNNNNNNNNNNNNNNNNNNNNNNNNNNNNNNNNNNNNNNNNNNNNNNNNNNNNNNNNNNNNNNNNNNNNNNNNNNNNNNNNNNNNNNNNNNNNNNNNNNNNNNNNNNNNNNNNNNNNNNNNNNNNNNNNNNNNNNNNNNNNNNNNNNNNNNNNNNNNNNNNNNNNNNNNNNNNNNNNNNNNNNNNNNNNNNNNNNNNNNNNNNNNNNNNNNNNNNNNNNNNNNNNNNNNNNNNNNNNNNNAAGUGUCGACUCAAUUAAACAUGCAAUAGAAUUAUCAAUGAACAAUCAGUGAAGAAAUUCUCAUCUAAAAUUAUAUAAAUCAAUUGGGGUUUGAAAUCGAAGACAUAUCUAGGGCUUUGAUCAGCCCCUAACUACUAAGGAGUUUAGUUACACAUAAUCUUGAUUAAGAACAUUAGAGAAUACAUGGAAGAUGAAAUAAGGGUGAGAAGAAGAAAACUUGAUUGAAGAAGAUCUUUGCCGAUCGAGUUCUUUUUCCUCUCCUUUCUUUCUUCUCUUUCUCCCUCUUUUUCUUCUUCUCUUUCUUUUCUUCUCCCCUGGUUCGGCCUCUCUCUUUUUCUUCCCUUCCUUUCUUUUCUUUUUCUCUCUAGUUCUUCUUUUUUCUUUCUCUUGUUUGGCUGCUCCCUUGUAUAAAUAGGUUAGUUAACCUAUAUCUCACGUCCAUCACCAAUCCAACUAGGAUUAGGGAUCCUAAUUAAGCCCAAUUAUCUCAUUUUCUUUGUUUGACUUCAAAACACCUAAAAACAAAUAAAGUUAAUUAAAAAUAGGAAAACAUCACAAAAUAAAUAAGUAAUAAGAAUAAUUAGCAUGAUAAAAGUCGCACAAAUAUGCGACUAUCAAUACUGUCUUGGCAGAAGGCUUCGACCACCAAGAAAACCUACAAUAAGUUUCACAUUUCAGAGCAGCCAAAUGCAUGACAAUUCCAAAACUAACAGGACACUCUCCCAAAACUAAAUAUGGACUCCAAAGGAAUAUUCUUAGCCGUAGAAGUUGAAUUCUAGCUACAACUAAUAUUUAACAGAACACAAACACCAUUCCAAUGUAGAGAAUACUAUUGAGUAAGAGGAUUACCCUGAGAAAGGCAACUCCAACAGGUGAAUUGAGCCAAUCAAGGAUCAUGCAUCCUGCAAAUGGUUCAAUAUGGGGUAUUAAAAUCUGAAGAUAAUUAAAUGUGCGUUUCAGUCAAUCAGAUAUGGAGGGUCAUUUGAUGACAUACACAAGUCCUCUGGUAAGAAAUCAUCCCAUCAUUUUGUAUACCUAACAAUAGAAAAAGAAAAGAAGUUAAUCAACCAACAAGUCAAAUCAACAAUAUAGAAAAGUAACAAUACAAACUAAUUAAUAGAAUAGCUCACGUCCAUACCAAGCAAUUGCAAAGUUUUAU